rnacentral:rRNA from 1 species
CGGACGGGCGAGUAACGCGAGAGAAUCGGCCCUCAUGAGGGGGAUGACGGCUGGAAACUGCUGCUAAUACCCCAUAUGCCGAGAGAUGAAAUGAGUUUCGCCUGAGAAUGAGCUCGCGUCUGACUAGCUAGUUGGUGGGGUAAAGGCCUACCAAGGCGUCGAUCAGUAGCUGGUCUGAGAGAAUGAUCAGCCACACUGCGACUGAGACACGGCCCAGACUCCUACGGGAGGCAGCAGUGGGGAAUUUUCCGCAAUGCGCGAAAGCCUGACGAAGCAACGCCGCGUAAGGGAUGAAGGCCUCUGAGCUGUAAACCUCUUUUAUCAAGGAAGAAGAUCUGACGGUACUUGAUGAAUAACCCACGGCUAAUUCCGUGCCAGCAGCCGCGGUAAUUCGGGAGUGGCAAGCGUUAUCCGGAAUUAUUGGGCGUAAAGCGUCCGCAGGCGGCCUUGUAAGUCUGUCGUCAAAGCGUGGAGCUUAACUCCAUUUAAGCGAUGGAAACUGCAAGACUAGAGUGUGGUAGGGGCAAAGGGAAUUCCCGGUGUAGCGGUGAAAUGCGUAGAUAUCGGGAAGAACACCAGUGGCGAAGGCGCUCUGCUGGGCCAUAACUGACGCUCAUGGACGAAAGCCAGGGGAGCGAAAGGGAUUAGAUACCCCUGUAGUC